UGCAAAGUGGAAAACAAAACAUUAUCUGCAUACGAAAAAAAGAAAAAUAGGAAACAAAAUGAAACAAACAAAAAAUUUAUUCACCCACUGGUUGGCUGGGAUAAAUGAAUUAUCUUGUCAACCAGCAAUAUGCACGAGAAAUCCAUUAUUUUAUUUCUUCAUUUUCGGUACACAGCGCAAAGUUAACUGCUGAUAAAAAGUUAUAAUCAUGAAUCACAGAUAUAGAGGAGGGGCAGAACUGGUACAAGUACUAGUGGCGACGAGAAGAGGGAGGGAGUAUAUUGUGUGGCUUCAAUUAGCUAGCUGGCAGCGGACUAUGUUAUCUUAUGCUGCUCAGACACCCAUGUCGUCGUCGGUCGUAGUCGUCGUCAUAUUCAUCUUCGAAUCGAAUCGACUACGACAUGUCGAUGAGUAAUUGAUAUCUAACCUUGUCUGGCUUUUCAUUAAUUAUUCAUUUAACCCAAAGAAUAAUAAAUUCUUUUACUUUGACACUGGCCGGUUCAUACAAGACCGAUAGAAGAAAUAAGAAGACACAAAUAAUGAAUACCUACUUUGGAGAGAUAAAAAAAAAAAUAAGGAAAUCUUAGAAAGAUAGAAGCCAUUGAC